AACGAACGCUGGCGGCAGGCUUAACACAUGCAAGUCGAACGAGAUCUUCGGAUCUAGUGGCAGACGGGUGAGGAACACGUGGGAACAUCCCUUUCAGUUCGGAAUAACGUUGGGAAACUAACGCUAAUACCGGAUACGUCCUUCGGGAGAAAGAUUUAUCGCUGAAAGAUUGGCCGGCGUCUGAUUAGCUAGUUGGUGAGGUAACGAGUCACCAAGGCUACGAUCAGUAGCUGAUCGGAGAGGAUGAUCGGCCACAUUGGGACUGAGACACGGCCCAAACUCCUACAGGAGGCAGCAGUGGGGAAUAUUGGACAAUGGGCGCACGCCUGAUCCAGCCAUGCCGCGUGAGUGAUGACGGCCUUCGGGUUGUAAAGCUCUUUUGUCCGGGAAGAUAAUGACUGUACCGGAAGAAUAAGCCCCGGCAAACUUCGUGCCAGCCGCCGCAGUAACAC
rnacentral:rRNA from 1 species